CACUUUUGCUAUUUGUCAGCGUGAUAACACAUGGACACCUCUCCAGGAGGCUUGUACAAGAAAAUCAUGUCCACAGCUAGAAGAACCCCUAAAUGGCCAAAUAAUCUAUGUAAACAGAACUUUUCAGUUUGGUUCACAGGCUCACUAUGUUUGCAAUGAGGGUUUUCACUUACUCGGAACAAAGCUUCUAUAUUGUGAACUUUCUGG